rnacentral:lncRNA from 12 species
CCUGACCUAUAGAGGGUGCUCAAUAAAGAACUGCUGAGCAUAGGAAUCAAAGAACAAUGGUUAAGAAUGUUGGCCUCAGAGUCAGACUCUCCAGAGUUAAAUCCAGGCUCUGUCACUUGGGAAGAUGUUUAGACAUUUUAAGCCUCAGUUUCUCUUCUGCAGAAUGGGAAUGAUAAUACUGAUAACUGCAACUAAUAAUAAUAAUAUACGUCACGGUGUUACAAAUAGCAAAGGAAUGCUGUACGUAAAAAGUUAGUAACAUUUGUACACAGAGCAGUCCCUUGGUGUCGAGGUGGGCACUGUUGAUGCCUUUGUGCUCCACUGAACGUCCCAGAAGCUCUCAAGAGCCAAGGAGGUGUGCUUGGAGGCAUUGGGGGCUGGGAUCCAAGCUCCACUCAGAAAUCCCUUCAACCAGAAUAGCACCCGGCUUGCUUAAAAUUCUUAUUUCUUUUUAAUUUGUCUACCAUCUAGAGAAACCACUGCUCAUCUGCCAGCCUCACAGCCAGAGCCACUUCAGCUACCAUCCCAGAAAAGUCCACCUAUCAGGAUUCUGGGCAUUUUCCUCAGAGACCCCUGGGCUUCCUUUCUAAAUAAAUGGUUCAUUCACCACAAAGAAAAAUCACAAGGAUGUGCAUGCUUGCUACAGAGGGUCCCUCUCCUGGAAUCAACAGCCCCAGCCACAUGUUCAUUGGUGCGACUACACUCGGCCACCUGUGAACACUGUUUCCAGGCCCCCAGGUUGAACACCCUCCCUGCUUGCCUCCUCACUGAUAUACUUUGAGAUUCUAGUGACAGGCCUCUGACAAAAGACAGGAGGCAGCUUGAGGACUAGAAGCAGGGUUUGGAGAGAUUGACCCCGACUUGGCUUUGG